GACGAACGCUGGCGGCGUGCUUAACACAUGCAAGUCGAACGGAAAGGCCCCUUUGGGGGUACUCGAGUGGCGAACGGGUGAGUAACACGUGAGUAACCUGCCCUUGACUUCGGGAUAACUUCAGGAAACUGGGGCUAAUACCGGAUAGGAAUCCUUGCUGCAUGGUGGGGGUUGGAAAGCUUCGGCGGUUUUGGAUGGACUCGCGGCUUCAGCUUGUUGGUGGGGUAGUGGCUUACCAAGGCUUUGACGGGUAGCCGGCCUGAGAGGGCGACCGGCCACAUUGGGACUGAGAUACGGCCCAGACUCCUACGGGAGGCAGCAGUGGGGAAGAUUGCACAAUGGGCGGAAGCCUGAUGCAGCAACGCCGCGUGCGGGAUGACGGCCUUCGGGUUGUAAACCGCGUUCAGCAGGGGCGAAGCUUGUGGUGACGGUACCUGCAGAAGAAGCACCGGCUAACUACGUG
rnacentral:rRNA from 1 species